rnacentral:rRNA from 1 species
ACGGGAGGCAGCAGUGGGGAAUAUUGGGCAAUGGGCGCAAGCCUGACCCAGCAACGCCGCGUGAAGGAAGAAGGUUUUCGGAUUGUAAACUUCUGUCCUAAGUGACGAAGGAAGUGACGGUAGCUUAGGAGGAAGCCCCGGCUAACUACGUGCCAGCAGCCGCGGUAAUACGUAGGGGGCGAGCGUUGUCCGGAAUGACUGGGCGUAAAGGGCGUGUAGGCGGCCAUAUAAGUAUGGAGUGAAACCCCGGCUUUCAAGGGCGGGAUUGCUUUGUAGACUGUAUGGCUUGAGUGCGGAAGAGGUAAGUGGAAUUCCCAGUGUAGCGGUGAAAUGCGUAGAGAUUGGGAGGAACACCAGUGGCGAAGGCGACUUACUGGGCCGUAACUGACGCUGAGGCGCGAAAGCGUGGGGAGCGAACAGGAUUAGAUACCCUGGUA